GCAGUGGUGCCUCAACGGUUUAGGCUCUGGGUUGCUGAUCAGAAGGUCGGGGGUUCAAGCCCCUGCACCGCA